rnacentral:rRNA from 1 species
UACGUAGGGGGCAAGCGUUGUCCGGAAUUAUUGGGCGUAAAGCGCGCGCAGGCGGUUUUUUAAGUCUGGGGUAUAAUCUUGGAGCUCAACUCCAAGCCGCCCCGGAAACUGGAAGACUAAGAGUGUAGGAGAGGAAAGUGGAAUUCCACGUGUAGCGGUGAAAUGCGUAGAGAUGUGGAGGAACACCAGUGGCGAAGGCGACUUUCUGGCCUAUAACUGACGCUGGGGCGCGAAAGCGUGGGGAGCAAACAGG